UCCUAAGGUAGCGAAAUUCCUUGUCGGGUAAGUUCCGACCUGCACGAAUGGCGUAACGAUCGCGGCACUGUCUCAACGAGGGGCUCGGCGAAUCUGUGAUACCGGUGAAGACGCCGGUUACCCGCAUCUAGACGGAAAGACCCCGUGCACCUUCACUGCAACUUGGCAUUGGAUUUUGGAACAGUCUGUGUAGGAUAGGUGGGAGGCUUGGAAACCGGGGCGCUAGCUCCGGUGGAGCCAACAGUGAAAUACCACCCUUAUUGUUCCGGAAUUCUAACCUGGGCCCGUGAUCCGGGUCGGGGACAUUGCCUGGUGGGAGUUUGACUGGGGCGGUCGCCUCCCAAAGAGUAACGGAGGCGCACGAAGGUUCCCUCAGGCUGAUUGGAAACCAGCCUUCGAGUGUAAUGGCAUAAGGGAGCUUGACUGCGAGACAGACAAGUCGAGCAGGUGCGAAAGCAGGUCAUAGUGAUCCGGUGGUUCCGCAUGGAAGGGCCAUCGCUCAACGGAUAAAAGGUACGCCGGGGAUAACAGGCUUAUCUCCCCCAAGAGUUCACAUCGACGGGGAGGUUUGGCACCUCGAUGUCGGCUCAUCGCAUCCUGGGGCUGAAGUAGGUCCCAAGGGUUUGGCUGUUCGCCAAUUAAAGCGGUACGUGAGCUGGGUUUAAAACGUCGCAAGACAGUUUGGUCCCUAUCUGAUGUGGGCGUUGGAUACUUGAAGGGAGCUGUCCCUAGUACGAGAGGACCGGGAUGGACGCACCGCUAGUGUACCAGUUGUCCUGCCAAGGGCACCGCUGGGUAGCUAUGUGCGGAAGGGAUAACCGCUGAAAGCAUCUAAGUGGGAAACCCGCCCUGAGAUGAGGUAUCCCGGGGAUUCAAUCCCCCUAAAGGGCCCUCGUAGACUACGAGGUUGAUAGGCCGGAUGUGUAAGCGCAGCGAUGCGUUUAGCUGACCGGUACUAAUUGCCCGUGAGGCUUGACCAC
rnacentral:ncRNA from 1 species